GGUGCUUUUCCUUCGGUGAAUGCUUAUUUUGAACCAUCGACUACAUUUCAUUUUCUCAAUUUUUUUACUAGCCUUGGUUUUUAAUACUUAUAGGGUUUGCCCCAAACUUAGAAUUUAACACAACUUAAUGACAUCACAUUGACUCCGAACAGGGUAAGGAAGUAUUUUGGGUCGUGGGUUACAUUUAUGUGGUUAGACAAACAAAGGGUACAUGCUCAAAUGGGGUUAACAAGGGAUAACAUUAACG
rnacentral:lncRNA from 1 species